rnacentral:rRNA from 1 species
UUGAUCUCAAAUCAGGUAGGACUACCCGCUGAACUUAAGCAUAUCAAUAAGCGGAGGAAAAGAAACUAACAAGGAUUCCCCUAGUAACUGCGAGUGAAGCGGGAAGAGCUCAAAUUUAAAAUCUGGCGUGCCUCUGGUCGUCCGAGUUGUAGUCUGGAGAAGCGCUUUCUGUGUUGGACCGUGUAUAAGUCUCUUGGAACAGGGCGUCAUAGAGGGUGAGAAUCCCGUCUYUGACACGGACUACCAAUGCUUUGUGAUGCGCUCUCAAAGAGUCGAGUUGUUUGGGAAUGCAGCUCAAAAUG